rnacentral:siRNA from 1 species
UAUAAAAGUGCCUUAUAGUGU